AGUGAACGCUGGCGGUAGGCCUAACACAUGCAAGUCGAACGGCAGCACAGUAAGAGCUUGCUCUUACGGGUGGCGAGUGGCGGACGGGUGAGGAAUACAUCGGAAUCUACUUUUUCGUGGGGGAUAACGUAGGGAAACUUACGCUAAUACCGCAUACGACCUACGGGUGAAAGCAGGGGAUCUUCGGACCUUGCGCGAUUGAAUGAGCCGAUGUCGGAUUAGCUAGUUGGCGGGGUAAAGGCCCACCAAGGCGACGAUCCGUAGCUGGUCUGAGAAGAUGAUCAGCCACACUGGAACUUAGCCACGGUCCAGACUCCUACGGGAGGCAGCAGUGGGGAAUAUUGGACAAUGGGCGCAAGCCUGAUCCAGCCAUACCGCGUGGGUGAAGAAGGCCUUCGGGUUGUAAAGCCCUUUUGUUGGGAAAGAAAAGCAGCAGGUUAAUACCCCGCUGUUCUGACGGUACCCAAAGAAUAAGCACCGGCUAACUUCGUG
rnacentral:rRNA from 1 species